GCGUCCCACUCGACACGCCCGCGCGGUCUCCGCGUCCUCCCGGUGGGAGCUGGCGCUGACCACGGCGACCUGGGUCCAGCCGACAGGUGGAGAACAGCUGACCUGGUGCCAGGUGUGGGGUCCCUGCCAGGUGCCCUGCGGUCUAGCGGCCCAGGGCCUGUUUUCUUCCCCUUGCUUCUCACCUCCAAACAUUCUGGUUUGUACCAUGAAAGGAGCACAGGCAGACUCCUUAUGUUCAAGCUUCACUGUUUACAAAGCUCUUUCCACCAGCUCAGUGCAGACAAAAGAUCAAGCACUGGAGUGGCAGAGAGGAGAGGAGGGAUACAGACAGGAUUCUUCCAAAGGACCUUCUGGAGAUGGACAAGGAGUGGGCCCAGCUACGCCUCUGCCUGGCUGAGCGCCGGAACCAGCUGCCCACGCUCAGGCCGACAGCUUCUUCCUUCCAGCCGGACCAGAGGCUCAGAGGCCAGACAAAGAUUUAUCUGUUCCUUCUUCCCCUGGCUUUGGUGGGGUGGGGGGUGGUCUUUGAUUAGACAUGCACACCCCCUAGCACCACCAGAGAAGGGCUGCUGUCUCCUGUACUGCCCAGGGUGCCUGGGGAAUGCAGGGGGCCCCGUGACGCUGUCUGGGUUC
ensembl:lncRNA